rnacentral:rRNA from 1 species
UACGUAGGGACCAAGCGUUGUUCGGAUUUACUGGGCGUAAAGGGCGCGUAGGCGGCUUAACAAGUCACUUGUGAAAUCUCCGGGCUUAACUCGGAACGGCCAAGUGAAACUGUCAAGCUAGAGUGCAGAAGGGGCAAUCGGAAUUCUUGGUGUAGCGGUGAAAUGCGCAGAUAUCAGGAGGAACACCGGUGGCGAAGGCGGGUUGCUGGGCUGACACUGACGCUGAGGAGCGAAAGCGUGGGGAGCGAACAGG